rnacentral:rRNA from 2 species
UUGGGCGUAAGCGCGCGCAGGCGGUUUCUUAAGUCUGAUGUGAAAGCCCACGGCUCAACCGUGGAGGGUCAUUGGAAACUGGGGAACUUGAGUGCAGAAGAGAAAAGCGGAAUUCCACGUGUAGCGGUGAAAUGCGUAGAGAUGUGGAGGAACACCAGUGGCGAAGGCGGCUUUUUGGUCUGUAACUGACGCUGAGGCGCGAAAGCGUGGGGAGCAAACAGGAUUAGAUACCCUGGUAGUCCACGCCGUAAACGAUGAGUGCUAAGUGUUAGAGGGUUUCCGCCCUUUAGUGCUGCAGCUAACGCAUUAAGCACUCCGCCUGGGGAGUACGGUCGCAAGACUGAAACUCAGAGGAAUUGACGGGGG